CAGGGAGUCAGAGCGAGAUCCGUAUCGUGAUGGGUAAAGCAGAACUGCUCAUUCUGGGGUUUGUUGGGCCCCAAGGAGUUGCCUGCUUCCUUCCUCACCUGGGACCAAUUAACUAUAUUGAAGUGGAACUUGGGCUUCCAAGACAAUCCAGCAGGCCCAUUUAGAUAGCGGUAGACUAGUCAAAAGUCUUGAUAACAUUCUUUUCUUCUAAAGUUGUUAGAAUAAAACAGUGUGUCAUAUUUAUCCCUUCCUCUGCCAGGAAAGGUUUCCUGAUGUUCUCGGUUGAAAUUAAUUUUCCCCUCCCUGUACUCCCAUAGCCCAUCGCUUGUGCUUUUAUUCCAGUGUUUCCCAGGGUCAUCCUUAUUAGCAUUAUUUAUGUGCAUGUCUGUCUCCUCUCCCAGAUCAUGAGCUCCUGGAGGGAAGAAACUGCAGUUUAUUCAUCUCUAUCCCCCAUGGACUGUGCGCAGGGCCCCGCACAUCAAUUUUCCAUGGAAAUCAUGGAACGACAAGAAUGGAACUGAAGGGAGUCAUGAGAAUGCAAAGGGGAAUAACCUCAAAUGACCACUGAAUUCAAGUACCUAGCAUGUGUAGGCAGUGCUGUGGGGCAUAUGGUACGUUACGUGGAAUUCAUUUAAGUGUAUGAAAGGCAACAUGAUAUAGUGGAAAGAACAUGAACUUGGAGUCAGAAAUCUGAGUUCAAAUCACUUUGACUCUUACUUGACCUCUGGCAGGUUACGUGAACUCUUUGAUCCUGUUUCUUCAUCUGUAGCAUGUGAAUGAUGACAUCUUAUAUGGUUCUGCUGGUAGGUAAGUCAGAUAAUGAACAUAAGAGCCUCACAAAUCUACUGGGGGCAUGCCUAUAGUCUAGUACACGAGGGAUGAAAAAUUUGAGACUUAUUUUUCCUUCCUCAUCAAGCAUAAGCGCUGAACCUCAAUCAACCUUCAGUCUAGUUUGGGAAGUAACUCUAACAUUCUAGAUAUUUUGAAGAUUGCUGAACAAAUAUUCAGUGUUAAUGCAUUAUUAAA
rnacentral:lncRNA from 1 species